AAGGAUCAUUAUUGAUUUUAUCUAUUUCUGUGGAUUUCUAUUCUAUUACAGCGUCAUUUUAUCUCAAUUAUAACUAUCAACAACGGAUCUCUUGGCUCUCACAUCGAUGAAGAACGCAGCGAACCGCGAUAUUUUUUGUGACUUGCAGAUGUGAAUCAUCAAUCUUUGAACGCACAUUGCGCGGUAUGGCAUUCCGUACCGCACGGAUGGAGGAGCGUGUUCCCUCUGGGAUCGCAUUGCUUUCUUGAAAUGGAUUUUUUAAACUCUCAAUUAUUACGUCAUUUCACCUCCUUCAUCCGAGAUUACCCGCUGAACUUAAGCAUAUCAAUAAGCGGAGGAAAAGAAACCAACAGGGAUUGCCUCAGUAACGGCGAGUGAAGCGGCAAAAGCUCAAAUUUGAAACCCUCGGGAUUGUAAUUUGAAGAUUUGGCAUUGGAGAAAGCUAACCCAAGUUGCUUGGAAUAGUACGUCAUAGAGGGUGACAACCCCGUCUGGCUAACCGUUCUCCAUGUAUUGCCUUAUCAAAGAGUCGAGUUGUUUGGGAAUGCAGCUCAAAGUGGGUGGUAAACUCCAUCUAAAGCUAAAUACUGGUGAGAGACCGAUAGCGAACAAGUACUGUGAAGGAAAGGUGAAAAGAACUUUGAAAAGAGAGUGAAAUAGUAUGUGAAAUUGUUGAUAGGGAAGGAAAUGAGUGGAGAGUGGCCGAGGUUUCAGCCGCCCCUCGUGGGCGGUGUACUGCCGACGCCGAGUCAUCGAUAGCGAGACGAGGGUUACAAAUGGGAGCGCCUUUCGGGCGUUCUCCCCUAACCCUCCACACUGCCACCGACGACAUAAUCCACCCAUUUCACCCGUCUUGAAACACGGACC
rnacentral:rRNA from 1 species